UAUUACAUGUUUUUUUUUCAAUAGUAACAAUGCUGUUCAGUGCACUGUAUGGAGGUAAAAAGGAACUAAUAAAAGUAGAUGGAGGAGAUUACACCAGUUUAAUGACUCAUGACGACACUGGUGUGGAGGGAGAUGAAGAUGUAUUCACUGACUUGCUGGAGGAGAGAUCACAUGAUAUCCUAUGGAGAGUUGUUGACAAAGAUUCAGGCAGGUGUCUGUGAUAUACGAACAUGCAAAUGGAUUUAAGGAAAUCACUUUUGUAUAUAUGUUUAAAGUUUAUAUUAAUUUUGUUUCCAGAAUGCGCAGUCCUUGAUUCUUCCUGUAGCCCACAAACUGACACUCUUUCAGUGUUGUCUGAGACGGAUGACAGUGCUGGACCAAGCUCCAAGAGACAUUGUCUUGGUGGAGAUUUUGAUGCAAAACAGUAUGUUAGAGACAUUGUAGAGGAAAAGGCAGGAGGACCUGCGAUUUUGGCUGAAUAUAGAGAUCAUGGAAAACUCACAGACUCAACAAGGCGACACUUAACAUUGUUGUUGCGCACAUUACCGACAAAGAAGGCCAUGUCCCUUCUAAAGAAACAAAGACUCGUUGUGCUUUGGGAAUUGUAACACUGUUCCCAUCCCUUAAGGAUCCAUACUCAAGAACUGGAUAUGAGCAUUUUUAUGACCCUAAGAGCAACCAAGGAUACAUAUCUUGGCGAUUCAAAACAGUUUCUCAGCAAAGCGAACACCACGCCGGACACCACAGUAAGAAGGAUGCUAGGUCAAGCGGAACUUCAGACAUUGAGGGCAGUGGAGGACCAACCGCUCAUAGAGAAACCUGCAACCAUUUGGAACUGCAGUUGGCGGGUGACCAAUGCAAAGAAGCGAUAUAUUUCAUGAAUCAUUGUGCAGAGAAGGACCUGAUUCUUGACAAGAUUCAAGCACAGACAGCUCCUUAUUCAUGAUGCAGCGAAGUCCAAUAUAGUGCUUUCAGUUUUUCCCAGAUUUCUCGACACUAAGAGAUUGAUACUUCAAGAUUUUGACAUCCAAUUUGGAACAGAAACAGCCUCCAGACUUCUUGAACAAUGGGAUAGUCUAAAGCCAAAGAUCAUUGCAGAAGCAACAACGCUUACUUCGACAUUGCAUCUGAACAGCCCGCUUUCAGAUGCCCAGGGUAACAGACAAGACGAGGAUUCACUUUCUGCCUUUGAUGAACUUUUUAAAGCAUACUUUGUCUUUAGCGUGUCUUUAAGUGCAAUGUAUUCAUUCAUCCAGACAACUAUCUACAAGAUAGAUCUUGGUAUAGUAUGUGAAACCCCUAGGGUUAAGGACCUACGAGCUUAACUUUUAAACUAGAUUAAAAAGUUUCGCUUCUUUGUUUGCAAACUGGCACAUUCUAAAAUUUAUAUUGCAAUAAUCGUACAUAUAUACUGUUUAUUUACUGAUUCUUGCACUUAUUCCUGAUGUCAGAAAACAGAGAAGUUAUGC